rnacentral:rRNA from 1 species
UACGUAGGGUGCGAGCGUUGUCCGGAAUUAUUGGGCGUAAAGAGCUCGUAGGCGGCCUGUCGCGUCGGAUGUGAAAGCCCGGGGCUUAACCCCGGGUCUGCAUUCGAUACGGGCAGGCUAGAGUGUGGUAGGGGAGAUCGGAAUUCCUGGUGUAGCGGUGAAAUGCGCAGAUAUCAGGAGGAACACCGGUGGCGAAGGCGGCUUCCUGGGCCACAUCUGACGCUGAGACGCGAAAGCGUGGGGAGCGAACGGG